rnacentral:tRNA from 1 species
AAAAUAAGGAUGGUUGACUGAGUGGUUUAAAGUGUGAUAUUUGAGCUAUCAUUAGUUUUAUAAACUACGUAGGUUCGAAUCCUACACCCUCCGAAAUAAUUUAUUUUAUUACUUAAUUAUAAGUAUAUAAUUCUUUCUAUAUUUAUCUUGAAAGUUUAUAUAAAUAAUAUAUAAGUAAUAUAAUAAUAAUAUUAUUAUGUAACCCGGAUCGACUACUUAUUUACGAGUGGGAUAUCCUAUGGGAAGUUAUAAAU